CCGGUUUAAGUUCUUUGGAAUAUUACAUCACAGAGGGUGAGAAUCCCGUAUGUGACCGGUUGCCUCGCCCCGUGUAAAGCUCUUUCGACGAGUCGAGUUGUUUGGGAAUGCAGCUCUAAAUGGGUGGUAUAUUUCAUCUAAAGCUAAAUACUGGCCAGAGACCGAUAGCGCACAAGUAGAGUGAUCGAAAGGUGAAAAGAACUUUGAAAAGAGAGUUAAACAGUACGUGAAAUUGUUGAAGGGGAAGCGCUUGCAACCAGACUUGGACUUAGUUGAUCACCCGGUGUUCUCACCGGGGCACUCUGCUAUGUACAGGCCAGCAUCGGUUUUGGUGGUUGGAUAAAGACUAUGGGAAUGUGGCUCUUCCGGGAGUGUUAUAGCCCAUGGUGCAAUGCAACCUACCGAGACCGAGGACCGCGCUUCGGCUAGGAUGCUGGCGUAAUGGUUGUAAGCGGCCCGUCUUGAAACACGGACCAAGGAGUCUAACAUCUAUGCGAGUGUUUGGGUGUUAAACCCAUACGCGAAAUGAAAGUGAACGGAGGUGAGAACCCGCAAGGGGGCAUCAUCGACCGGUCCUGAUGUCUUCGGACGGAUCUGAGUAAGAGCAUAGCUGCUGGGGACCCGAAAGAUGGUGAACUAUACGUGAAUAGGGUGAAGCCAGAGGAAA
rnacentral:rRNA from 1 species